UGGGGAAUUUUGGACAAUGGGCGAAAGCCUGAUCCAGCAAUGCCGCGUGUGUGAAGAAGGCCUUCGGGUUGUAAAGCACUUUUGUCCGGAAAGAAGUCCUUGGCUCUAAUACAGUCGGGGGAUGACGGUACCGGAAGAAUAAGCACCGGCUAACUACGUGCCAGCAGCCGCGGUAAUACGUAGGGUGCAAGCGUUAAUCGGAAUUACUGGGCGUAAAGCGUGCGCAGGCGGUUUGCUAAGACCGAUGUGAAAUCCCCGGGCUCAACCUGGGAACUGCAUUGGUGACUGGCAGGCUAGAGUAUGGCAGAGGGGGGUAGAAUUCCACGUGUAGCAGUGAAAUGCGUAGAGAUGUGGAGGAAUACCGAUGGCGAAGGCAGCCCCCUGGGCCAAUACUGACGCUCAUGCACGAAAGCGUGGGGAGCAAACAGGAUUAGAUACCCUGGUAGUCCACGCCCUAAACGAUGUCAACUAGUUGUUGGGGAUUCAUUUCCUUAGUAACGUAGCUAACGCGUGAAGUUGACCGCCUGGGGAGUACGGUCGCAAGAUUAAAACUC
rnacentral:rRNA from 1 species